ensembl:lncRNA
GGGGCUGUUUCUUUUUUGUAGACAUUCUUUGAUUUCUGGUAAAAGAGGAGGGUUCUGCUCUGCCAUUCCUGGACGAGGUGACCCAGAAGCAGAGAGGAAGUACAUUCCAGGUCCCUCAUGUGCCAGAUAUCCUGCUGGGCAUUUUACGCACACGAGUCGUUUAAUCUACCUUGUGAGGUGAACCUGAUGAUGGCCAGAAUACACUGAGGCUGCCGACCUGUCAGGCUGGGACCGGUCCGAUUCCCAAGCUUCCAUCCAAAGCACCACAGUCCUGCUUCCUUAUGACGUCUCCUCCUCCUCCACCGUCUGCUCCGUCCUCUGCCAUCUCCAGGAAUAUGUGAUGCAGAGCCCAUUGUGGAGCACUCCCCCGUUCUUCCUUCAAGACUCAGCUCAGACACCCUUCCUACAAGUUCUCCAUGACUCCUUAAGACCAGCACCCAGCCUCAGUCAUGUCCAGCUCUUUGCAACUGCAUGGACUGUUGCCCGCCAGGUUCCUCUGUCCAUGGGAUUUCCCAGAUCUCAAUCGUUUUGAGGAGUGCUAGACAGGUGCCUGGUGGGCUGCCGUCUAUGCGGUCACACAGAGUCGGACACGACUGAAGCAACGCAGCAGCAGCAGCAGCAGCAGACAGGCGUUUUGUAGAUUUGGACUUGGUGAUUUUAACGAGAGUUUGGUCCCUUCACUCACCGCAUGAAUAAAAGCCUGUCCUGAAA